rnacentral:tRNA from 1 species
CAGGGAGACAACAAAAUGUUUAAUAUUAUUAUUUUGUCACCUUAGGUCGAUCGGUAUCUCACGUUCUUAAUUUAUUAAGAAUUUCAUUUCCUAAGUUUUUCUAGGUCACACCCAUUAUUUUUCCUGGGCCAUUAGCUCAGGUGGUUAGAGCGCACCCCUGAUAAGGGUGAGGUCCCUGGUUCAAGUCCAGGAUGGCCCAUAUCUCUAUGUUGGGGGUAUAGCUCAGUUGGUAGAGCGCCUGCUUUGCAAGCAGGAUGUCAGCGGUUCGAGUCCGCUUACCUCCACUGAUUACCACCUCUUCCAUAAUCGGUAGAAAGGAAAUGUUUUGAGUUGUGAUCAUUAUUCUGAACGAAUCUAGCUUCCUAAUGAAAUCAUUAAGAUGCUGGACUCAUUGAAUUAAUUUCAUUGUUUUCAGAGAACCUUGACAACUGCAUAGAUUAUUUUUAAAGACAAUAAGCAUCUUUAAUGAUGCAGAUUUAUUAUUUGUGCGAAUGCAUUAAUAACAAUUCUAUUAAGCUGAUGCUUCAAUUUUUGAAGUUAUU